rnacentral:rRNA from 1 species
AGAGUUUGAUCCUGGCUCAGGAUGAACGCUAGCGGCAGGCCUGACACAUGCAAGUCGAGGGGUAACAGGAGAAGCUUGCUUUUCGCUGACGACCGGCGCACGGGUGCGUAACGCGUAUACAAUCUACCUCUAACUGGAAGAUAGCCCCGAGAAAUCGGGAUUAAUACUCCAUAAUAUGAUUCCUUCUCAUGUGGGAAUCAUUAAAGCUCAGGCGGUUAGAGAUGAGUAUGCGUAACAUUAGCUAGUUGGUGAGGUAACUGCUCACCAAGGCUACGAUGUUUAGGGGGCCUGAGAGGGUGACCCCCCACACUGGUACUGAGACACGGACCAGACUCCUACGGGAGGCAGCAGUGAGGAAUAUUGGUCAAUGGACGCAAGUCUGAACCAGCCAUGCCGCGUGAAGGACGAAGGCGCUACGCGUCGUAAACUUCUUUUAUUUGGGAAGAAACCCUCGGACGUGUCCGAGGCUGACGGUACCAAACGAAUAAGGACCGGCUAACUCCGUGCCAGCAGCCGCGGUAAUACGGAGGGUCCAAGCGUUAUCCGGAAUCAUUGGGUUUAAAGGGUGCGUAGGCGGGAAAUUAAGUCAGUGGUGAAAUCCUACAGCUCAACUGUAGAACUGCCAUUGAUACUGCUAUUCUUGAAUCUAGUUGAGGUGGGCGGAAUAUGUCAUGUAGCGGUGAAAUGCAUAGAUAUGACAUAGAACACCAAUUGCGAAGGCAGCUCACUAAACUGGUAUUGACGCUAAGGAACGAAAGCGUGGGUAGCGAACAGGAUUAGAUACCCUGGUAGUCCACGCCGUAAACGAUGAUCACUCGACAUUGGCGAUAAACGGUCAGUGUCUUAGCGAAAGUGUUAAGUGAUCCACCUGGGGAGUACGGUCGCAAGACUGAAACUCAAAGGAAUUGACGGGGGCCCGCACAAGCGGUGGAGCAUGUGGUUUAAUUCGAUGAUACGCGAGGAACCUUACCAGGGCUUAAAUGCAAGAUGACCUCUUGGGAAACCAGGAUUUCUUCGGACAAUUUGCAAGGUGCUGCAUGGCUGUCGUCAGCUCGUGCCGUGAGGUGUCGGGUUAAGUCCCAUAACGAGCGCAACCCCUAUCUUUAGUUGCCAGCACAUAAUGGUGGGGACUCUAAAGAAACUGCCCGCGCAAGCGGUGAGGAAGGUGGGGAUGACGUCAAAUCAUCACGGCCCUUACGUCCAGGGCUACACACGUGCUACAAUGGCGGAUACAAAGGGCAGCUACUUGGUGACAAGAUGCUAAUCUCUAAAGUCCGUCUCAGUUCGGAUUGAAGUCUGCAACUCGACUUCAUGAAGCUGGAAUCGCUAGUAAUCGUAUAUCAGCAAUGAUACGGUGAAUACGUUCCCGGGCCUUGUACACACCGCCCGUCAAGCCAUGGAAGCUGGGGGUGACUGAAGUGCGUAACCGUAAGGAGCGUCCUAGGGUAAAACUGGUAACUGGGGCUAAGUCGUAACAAGGUAACC